GGUGCAGCAUGUUUUUUUAUUUAAUUAAAGACCGAGGUUGAAAAAUUUGCAAAAGUUUCUUUUCGCUCUUACAGAAUGUGUAAUAACAUAUACGUAAUAGGUUGCACAUGUGAAACAGGAUAUGCUUGCGCCUUUUCGAAGUUUUGAUAUCUUUUAUUUGUUAGGUUCCUGUUGCUCAGUCUUCCAUGUUGUGGUAUGUGUACAGUUGUCUUCUCUUUCUUUCACAUUUAACUUUCGACUUAUGAAUUUGCAUGUUGGUAUCUUCCUACUGUUUGAAGUAUCCACAUAUGUUUUAUUCAAUGUUUGCAAAAACAUGCAUUUUUUGUAACAAUGCAAGAAACGUCUUAUGCCCCACAUUCGCCUGUACAUCCGUUUGUUCAUCUGUCCCGC
rnacentral:lncRNA from 1 species